CGGCGUGUGGCGCAGCCUGGUAGCGCACUUCGUUCGGGACGAAGGGGUCGCAGGUUCGAAUCCUGCCACGCCGACCA
rnacentral:tRNA from 3 species